rnacentral:ncRNA from 2 species
AUAAAAAAAUUAAAUAGACCUCAUAUAAUUGUGAUGAUAUGGUUCACAAGUCUCUAGUGUCAGCCGAUAACUGACAACUAUGAGGGAAGUAAAUUAGCUG